rnacentral:sRNA from 1 species
GGCGAGAUGACACCCGGCGCCCUAAUGAGCUUCUUGGUAUCCGCUCAAACAAUCCAGAGAUCUCUAUCCCAACUAUCAAUCAUCUUCGGAACAGCAAUCAAAGGAUGGACUGCUGGUGGACGAGUUCUUCAAUUCUCUCGUCUUGAACCAUCUAUCCCAAUGGAUACAGGUGUCUGUAUUCCGUAUCAUUCACUUUGGGGUGACAUUAAAUUCGAAGACGUCUCGUUUUCCUAUCCAACACGGCCCGGCCAUACGGUGUUUGAAAAUCUGACGCUGAGUAUUCCAGCUGGACAAGUUGUCGCACUUUGUGGUCCCAGUGGAGAAGG